GAUUAACGCUGGCGGCGUGCAUAACACAUGCAAGUCGAACGAUGAAACUUAAAUGAUUUCUUCGGAAUGAACUUAAGUGGAUUAGUGGCGGACGGGUGAGUAACGCGUGAGUAACCUGCCUUACACAAGGGGAUAGCCGUUGGAAACGACGAAUAAUACCCUAUGAAACUAUCACUUCGCAUGAAGCGAUAGUCAAAGUGUUAGCGGUGUAAGAUGGACUUGCGUCUGAUUAGCUAGUUGGUGAGAAAAAAGCCCACCAAGGCAACGAUCAGUAGCCGGCUUGAGAGAGUGUACGGCCACAUUGGGACUGGGACACGGCCCAGACUCCUACGGGAGGCAGCAGUGGGGAAUUUUGCACAAUGGGGGAAACCCUGAUGCAGCGACGCCGCGUGAUGUAGAAGGCCUUCGGGUUGUAAAAAUCUUUUGUAUAGGAGGAAAAUGACAGUACUAUACGAAUAAGGUCCGGCUAAUUACGU
rnacentral:rRNA from 1 species